CCCUCUCAUGUUCAGCCGCUGCCUUUUUGUUUCCCCCUAAACCCUUUGUCUGCAACACAAAUGUGCUUUGUCUCUCUCUCUCGAUCACACUUUAGACAGCAAAACACACUCACAUUUACAACUUCACCUCCUUCACAAACAAACCUAUAAUCAGACUUCUCAAUCUCCUCCACCUCUCGAUCUCGACUCACACCACACAUCGCACAACACCGUAACACCUUUCGCAACCUAUUUUGGGUACCUCUAUUCACGCCCGCAAGCCAUCGGAGUUUACCGGAGACUCGCCGGAGAUCGAAGUAUGCCGGAGUGAACGAAGGAACUCAAACCCAGUUGUUUCGAUACAUGGACUUAGUCGGAGGAACCGGAAUCACCGGAGAAAGGACCUUCGCCAGGGACGAGAAUCACGUUCCGCAUAUCUCGGUGUCGGAUAAUCGCUUUGUUCGUUCUCUUGGAUCUUCCAAUCUUACUCGUGCGUACUUACAAGAAAUCGCAACACAAUCUCAGAUUUGGAUGAUGCAAGGAAUCUAGUAGGACUGCCUAGAAACACAUUUAAACUCUAAUACUUGUUGUACUAUAUCUUAUUUUCAAACAUGUAAUUCUUUCCAAUCUUUGUAUGAGACCAUUACUCAAUGAAAUGAAAUGAAACUUAAAUAGUUGUAUGUUAUUUA